AUUGUUGUACAUAAGCUUCCCAAUGUAGAAACUCGAAACUUGUAAAUAUCAAUUUACUUUUUGGUAUGUGAAAAUUUUCGCUAUUUAAACCCCUCCCCCCACAUUCACAAUUCACAUCAAAUUUUCUUCAUCGAUCAUUUUAUAGCUAGAAGUAAAAACUAAAAACAAAAAAACAAAAAAACUUUUCUUGAAAAUGGAUUUGCAACCGGCGGUUUUGGUGCAUCAAUACCUCCGUUUAAAGGUUGACCCGGCUCAAUCAAACGGUCAAGUUGUUAGACACAACAUCUAUGCUCACGACCCACCGGCUUUGGAAGCCAUGCAUGCCUC
rnacentral:lncRNA from 1 species